rnacentral:rRNA from 1 species
GACAGAGGGUGCAACCGUUGUUCGGAAUUACUGGGCGUAAAGCGCGUGUAGGCUGCCUCGCAAGUCGGGUGUGAAAGCCCUGGGCUCAACCUAGGAAGUGCACUCGAAACUGCGGGGCUGGAGUCCUGGAGAGGAAGGCGGAAUUCUCGGUGUAGAGGUGAAAUUCGUAGAUAUCGAGAGGAACACCGGUGGCGAAGGCGGCCUUCUGGACAGUGACUGACGCUGAGACGCGAAAGCGUGGGGAGCAAACAGG